UAAAGCGAACGCACCAAAAGUUACCCAACCUCGCAGCACUGCUUCUUUACACGUGAUUUACACGUGUUCAUUCAUUUUGUACAUGUGCAGCGCACUAGCUUCUUGUAGCUAAGUCAACCGAAUUUUAUUAUAUAUUUGUUUAUUUCCCAUAAAUCGUAACGAUGACAUUGAAAAGUUUUCCUAGAGGAGGAAAGAAACUUGAAAUUAAGAAAUCUUUAAAUGUGCGCACGCCAAGAUCCGAUUUUACGUUGUUAAUGGCGAGAAAUGAGUGCGGCAUCAUUCCGAUUGGAAUGCUGAAAUCUGUGGUCGAGACUCCCAAAAAAGAGACACAGCCGUUGUCUAGCGCAAAUAAAAAAUUGAAGAGAAAAAUGCAAUCUUGUUGCCCGCGCAACAAGAUACGGCUUUAACGAGUGUUAUACUUAAGAAACCAAAAAGGGAAACGACGACUGGUGAUGGUGUUGGCAGCGAUAGAAAACUCAAAAGUAAAGCAAGCAAUAUUGAUAAAACUGCCUAUCUAAAGAAAAGUGAGACCAGCAGACAACUGCAUAAAGUAAAAACGAGAGAACACAACAGAAACGUAAAGAAGAAAAAGAAUAAAAAUAGAGAUACAACUAAAGAACCAACAGCCAAAGAGAAAAAGACCAAGAUAAAAGAUAUAAAUGAGAUCUCUGAAGCAGAGGAGACUCUUCCGACGAAAGCGAUGCAGAAGACAAGUUAUCGACCACAAAAAGAUCACAUGUUCCAGAAUGCGGGUUUAACUGGGACAAUAAACAAGCUCAGCUGUAGUAGCUGUCAGCGAGACGUCCAGCGAUGAUGAAGAGAAGACCACGGAUGAGCCGAAGCGAAAGAAGAAGAAGCUG